UCAAUUGUAUCUAUAACACUUUUGUCAUCCACAGACAAUUGUUAUCUUGUUUUGGCCCUCUUCAGAAGGUGGUUUUUUGAUCAGCUGUUAAACUCUGACAGGUACUCUUGAAUACAAGUCUUUGAUAACUUUGGAGGUUGUAAUAUCAGAAUAAGAGAAAAACUUUUAGUACUCAUGGAGAACUGAAGUGUUCCUGAAUAGCCAGAAGAACAGGAGUUAACUACAUGGACUGAGCUAAUAGAAGACUGAAGACUCAAUUGGAGAAACUUGUUAGUUUACCAAGGCUUUGACUGGAAUGAUGUCCUUUCCUUUAAGGAAUCAAAUUUGAUCUAUAGAGCCAAUGAAAGCCCCUUGGCAAAACUGGCAUUAUACCUUUUCUAAACAGUCCCUGUACAGGGCUCCUAACAUGUGGUAAGUAAAGAAUGUCACUUUCUGACAGCCUAGGAGCCCCAAGUUUAUCUUGGAACCUGAAGAGGUGAGGAAUUUCCCCAGCUCAUAGGUAUUUGAUGGUACAAAUCCAUGGCUGGGCUUGGCUUUAAAAAAGUCUUAUCUGAGAUUCCUUCUAUGGAACAAAGUUCCAUCAAAACUAUCUUGAAAGCCUAUGUAGAAGAAUAAUUAUCCUUAUUGUGUUGUAUACAAAUAAUCAGGCCAAGUAUAAUAAAGCAAAUCAAUCCUACCAUGAUUUGUCUUUAGUAAAAAUGGGAAACUGGAGAGAGAAAAAUUAUGUUUUAAAAACUACAGUACACCUGUUGUUGGAUUCUACUCUUGCCUAAUGUUUUUCAGUUUUUAUUAUUUUCUACAAUUUGAGCUGCAUUCUAAUUUUUCUUGGCUACAAGCCUGCAAAAUAAUGUGUUCAAUUUUUUCCCCUCCUUUUCCCACAUUUUUCCUAAUUUGGAGUCA